CCGCACUUCCGCUGGCUGGGUAUCCGCGGCAAGUUCAGAUCAUUAGUUGGCUGGAGUUAAUUAACCACCAGACAAUUAGCUUAUCUUUUUCCCGAUCCUAAGACCAGCUGGAUUGUACUUUCAAUGGCAUAAUAGAAUGGGACUCUAUUUGCUGCCAGAUUGGGAAUUCUAAGGGUAUAAAUAUGUAUUAAUAAAUAUUAUGACCUUUAAAAUUUUAAAACAAAUGCAAAACCUGCAGCAUUUUUCGGGAAUUGAUUCUCUGUACAUAAAAAUGAGAUUAGUCAAUCCUUUUGGUGUCUGUUUAGCAUACAAUGAGUACAUCCAGAUAGUUAAGACCCUUGGAAUCAAGAUUAAGAGAACCAUCAAUUAAGGAGGCAGUGCGCACCUCUCCAGGGAAAUUUACUCCAGUGCUUCAUCCUACCUCAUUGGACACAGCCGACCGUGUUGGUCCUGGUUCCCUCUUCAAAUGCUGGCUCCUGGAAAUAGCAUCAAAGCAAGCAGCUGAUAAGACAAAACUGGGUUGUUGCUUAUGCUAAGGGGAAGCACCACCUUGAAAGAGUCAUUGUAGAGUGGAGGUCGGGAGGGCAAAGUUGAGAUACUGAGGUUUUGGGGUUUGGUUUAAGGCAGGUCCUUUGAUGUCGGACUUAAUCAGGGCUGGGUAAGGAUCAUGUUAUAAUAGUUUAGGAUUGUUGGUCACAGUUUUGUAUUGGUGGUCACAGUGAAGUGAGGGCUUCAAAGACUCUUGGAGCUUUCUUUGAUGCUCCCUGUUGAAGAGCUGUGUGGUUUUAUUAAUGGAUUUUCCUGAACUCAAGGAGUAAGGUUAUUUGCAACUUUUGUGUUUCUGGGCAAGCAUUUCCUGGAAUAAUAAAGUCACAAUAAUAGAGUCAUGUUAUUUUGCUUCAGCAAUUGUGAGUCGGAGUACUCUGCUAUUUGUAUCCAGAGGCACCCUGUUAUGGUUUCCUUGUGUGUAAAAUGGGGA
rnacentral:lncRNA from 10 species